GCCUUGUUAAGAACAGAAUGCUUCAGUUAUCUCAUUUGAUUGUUCACAGUCAGUUACAGAUUGAACUCCUUGUUCUACUUUCCCCCCUCCUCACUACUGCACUUGACUAGUCUUUA
rnacentral:sRNA from 1 species